AUGGGUUUUCAAGAGGCUAUAGCACAAACGGAUCUUGAUAUUCGGUUGUUGAAACAGCCACCCAACAGCCCCGAUAUGAAUGUUUUAGACCUAUGCUUGCAUAAUUCUCUUCAGUCCCUAACUGAUUGCUUAUGACCUAAAACUAUUCAGGAAUUGGUAGAAGGUGUGGAGGAACAAUUCGAGAACUAUGAGGUUCAGAAGUUGUUUAGAAGCUUUGUGACACUCCGGGCAGUUAUGAUUGAGGUUAUAAAAAAGAAAGGAGGCAAUGAUUAUACACUCCCGCAUUUGCAUAAAGAUCGCCAUCAAAAUGAAGGAAGGCCAGCAAUCUUUCUAUCUUGCGAUGCUCGGCUAGUUGCUGAGACCAAGGCCCUUAUUGAGGAAGGAGAGAGAGAGGAGUGA
rnacentral:rRNA from 1 species